UUCAACAUGCGCGCGGGUCGUUGGGUGUUGCGCAUACCCGAAGGCCGAGUGAACGCGAGAGGCGGCGACGCAGGUCGCCGUCGUUUGCGGCGAGAUCCCGUCUUUGGUGCGCGCCCUCGCGGGUGCGUCCAACAGAAGGCGGGCGCAUCGCCGGCCCGUCGAAUGUGGCCACGAGCCGCCGACCGGAGCUAGAGCGCGCACGUUGGGACCCGAAAGAUGGUGAACUAUGCCUGGGCAGGAUGAAGCCAGGGGAAACCCUGGUGGAGGUCCGUAGCGAUUCUGACGUGCAAAUCGAUCGUCUGACCUGGGUAUAGGGGCGAAAGACUAAUCGAACCAUCUAAUAGCUGGUUCCCUCCGAAGUUUCCCUCAGGAUAGCUGGCGCUCGUACCCAGGCAGUCUCUCCCGGUAAAGCGAAUGAUUAGAGGCCUUGGGAUCGAAACGAUCUCAACCUAUUCUCAAACUUUAAAUGGGUGAGAAGUCCGGCUUACUUGACUUG
rnacentral:rRNA from 1 species